rnacentral:rRNA from 1 species
CCUACGGGUGGCAGCAGUGGGGAAUAUUGGACAAUGGGCGAAAGCCUGAUCCAGCCAUGCCGCGUGUGUGAAGAAGGCCUUCGGGUUGUAAAGCACUUUCAGUGGGGAAGAAAGCCUUGGGGCUAAUACCCUCGAGGAAGGACAUCACCCACAGAAGAAGCACCGGCUAACUCCGGGCCAGCAGCCGCGGUAAUACGGAGGGUGCGAGCGUUAAUCGGAAUUACUGGGCGUAAAGCGCGCGUAGGCGGUCUGAUAAGCCGGUUGUGAAAGCCCCGGGCUCAACCUGGGAACGGCAUCCGGAACUGUCAGGCUAGAGUGCAGGAGAGGAAGGUAGAAUUCCCGGUGUAGCGGUGAAAUGCGUAGAGAUCGGGAGGAAUACCAGUGGCGAAGGCGGCCUUCUGGACUGACACUGACGCUGAGGUGCGAAAGCGUGGGUAGCAAACAGGAUUAGAUACCCGAGUCGUC